rnacentral:rRNA from 1 species
UAGGGUUUGAUCCUGGCUCAGAACGAACGCUGGCGGCAGGCUUAACACAUGCAAGUCGAACGAGAGGCUUACUUCGGUAAGUGGAAAGUGGCAGACGGGUGAGUAACGCGUGGCAACCUACCUUUUUCUACGGAACAACUAGUUGGAAACGACUGCUAAUACCGUAUACGCCCUCCGGGGGAAAGAUUUAUCGGUGAAAGAUGGGGCCGCGUUAGAUUAGCUAGUUGGUGAGGUAAUGGCUCACCAAGGCGACGAUCUAUAGCUGGUCUGAGAGGAUGAUUAGCCACACUGGGACUGAGACACGGCCCAGACAACUACGGUUGGCAGCAGUGAGAAUAUUGGACAAUGAAAGCAACCCUGAUCCAGCCAUGCCGCGUGAAUGAUGAAGGCCUUAGGGUUGUAAAAUCUUUCGCUAGAGAUGAUAAUGACGGUACCUAGUAAAGAAGCCCCGGCUAACUCCGUGCCAGCCGCCGCGGUAAUACA